rnacentral:rRNA from 1 species
GACUAAAAAUAGCUCAAAAAAUAAGACUUUGUUAAUUACCCUAAUGAUAUAAAAUAAAACAUUUAUAGCAAUAUAAAAGUAUAGGCGAUAGAAAUUAUAUCUGACGCUAUAGAGAAAGUACCGUAAGGGAAAAAAUGAAAGA